UCCCUUUCAUUCCGUCGCUUAGGUAUGUAAAUAAGGCGAAGAAAUCAUUGAUUUAAACAAGUAUAAUUAUAAAAUUGUAUUUAUUUUCAAAUAGCAAAUAAGUAGCAUUUAACCCAAAAACUUGAGAGUAGUUGCCCUUUGUUUACUUAGCAUUUGACAACUCGGAUUUUGCAAAAUGGUUGAAGAAUAAGUUAUUGUUGUAUCUUUUCUUAAUAAAAGCAUUCGAUGAUUACCGUUAUUAGUUUAAGCAUUUAUUGUUUUGUUUCUUUACAAAUGACUUUAUGUUAAACUCAUUCUAUUUUGUGUCGACGUAUACUUAUCGAUGACUUUAAGUGCAGACUGAUUUACCCCACCCGCUAAUGUUGAACUUGUAGUUGUUCUACUUCCAAAUGUUAUGAUUGAACAAUACUUUACCUCGAAAUUGUUGAUUAUAACAUCGUGAUCAUGAAAAUGAAUAUGACAUCAUGAUGUUGUUUGUGUUUGCUAUUUUUAAACAAGUUAUUGUAUUGGUUAGUUAAGUAGAUGCUGAGAAAUGGUACCUUAUGUAUUUAAUAAUUGUAGAAAAAUCACCUUAAUUGUUUCUAUAUUGUUCUCAUUUGAUUACAAUGUUGUUCGAUUGGUCAUUGUCAGCUCGGAUACUACUUACCUGUACCCCGGGUACUCUUUAAGUAUACUUACAUGUAGAGCUAACCCUGUUACAGUUAAUAUACUUUAAUAUAGCCGGAAAUUUAAUGCUAAAUGGGUUGUUGUAGGCUUAAUUUUUUUAAUUAUGUUCACAUUAAUGUCAUUUUUUUCUCAAAUAGUCUUUAUAUCAUCGAAAUUUAUACUCAAAAAGCAUAUUGAUGCAGUUUUUUCAAAAGGUAAGUUUAAUUUAGAUAAACAAUAUGGCUUUACAUUUAUCUGUAGUGCACUGUACCACAUCGAAUUUUGGGCAAUAAUACAACUCGGGUACAGUCUAAUAAGGACCGGGUACGUUUAAGUAUAUUAACCUUACCCGAGGUACAUGCAAGUAUGCUUAAUGAUACCAGGGGUACAUGUAAGUAGUACCCAAGCUGUGAAUAACCAAUCGAGCGUGAGUAAAGUAGAUUGUACUUUAUGUCUUUAAUAAUUGCAGAACAAUUACCUUAUUUAUUUCUAUAUGGUUUCCAUUUGAUUACAAUUUAUUUAUUUGUCAAAUUCAAUUCUGCAGUGCUAUAAAUAUGCACCCCCCAUCCAAAAAAUUUAUUUCGUGCAUAUUGAUGGGGCUUUUUUAUUUAUUUACUCCUUUUCUGCAUUCCUCCCUUUUGUGUUGGUAGUGUGAACAUGAAAUGAUGAGCACUUUCAUGUUAAUGAAUAACUUUUAUUUUUUUAUAGAUUUUGGCAUAUUGCAUAUUGCCAAGGGAGAUGCUUACUGAGGAUUCCAUGCCAUUAAUAUGCAGGCUGUUGCUGAUGCCAGCAUGAGCAAUAUCUGAGCACCAAUGAUGAGGGUCAUCUGCUGGGAGAUAGUGGGUAUCCGUUAAGGACUAACCUGAUGACCCCUUAACCUCAUCCCUCCCAUGCUGCGGAACAGGCCUACAAUGACCAUCUAUGUAGAGGAUAUCUGCAUGCCACUGGUGGAUGUUGGCCUUUCAAGUCCAAUAAGUGCUGUAAAAUAUCAACUGUGUACAUGCCCCUGCAUAACCUGUGUCUGGAUUCAAACGUUCCACUGAUAGAGGAAUUGGUUGGAAAUGUGAUGGAACCGGAAGUUAUGAACAACACACCAGUACAUCGAGCAGCAUGUGAUAAGAGGCAGCAGCUGAUCAAACUGUUUCAUAAAAUGUGUUAAAAAUUUAUAGUUAUAAAUGUUAUAAAGUGAUAGAUGGCUCGAGUCUUCUCUGAAUAGGCAGAGCUACACUACUCAGCCAAAUGGCGUAAAGUUGUGUCAUAGCUGAUUUGGAGAGAUUGGUAUUCCUGGUCGUCUAGACACAAUAGUUACAACAGCUGAUGUUUGCAUGUUUUAUAAUUGUGUAUGCAUAAUUUGUCUAAUAUUUACUUCAAGGUUAUAGGUUUGUGAAAGAAAAAAAUGUCAAUGUUCUGAGGACCAAUAAAAAAAGUUAUGUGUUAGGUAUUA